UGAAAUCUGGAAAUGAUAUUCAGAGACUCCCCACAAAGUUUGGUGAUUUUUGGACAUACUAAUAAAUUAUUAAAAUUCCUAGAAGUUUUAUUCAUUAAAUAAAAGAGGUAACUUUUAUAUACUUGCAAGCUACUAGAAAACAGAUACUAAUAUUUUUCCUAUGUUCUAUUCCUUUUAUGGAAGCUAUACAAAAAUUUCCAUGAUUUUUGAAUCAACACAAGAUUUAUUACACAAAUUCAAACAUUCAGCAUUUUUAAACAAAAAGGAAAAAAAGAAAAACACACUGGUCACGCGGCCGGCCCGCUUGGCUUCGGCCC
rnacentral:lncRNA from 1 species